rnacentral:lncRNA from 1 species
UAGAUGAUUCUGAUCCCUUCUUCUCCAAAGGGCCAGAAAUAAUCAGCAGCACAGGGUGUGAGAUCUACUGGAAAGAUGGUAAAGAGCUCACCCUGAAAACCCUGAAGCUGCAGAAAUGUGAGGGCCCUGAAGGUGUCGCACCAACCUCUAGGAAGGUGCCCAGCUAUUCUUUCUUCACCUACUUCUCUCCUCCCUGGGGGUAGAGUACUGGAUGUGGCUACUGAGUAUAAAUUGGGUUAUUUUUUUCCGUGAAGUUCCGGUCCCAAAGUCUGUAUUAUACUUCACGAAAGAAGCGAGUGAUUAUCAGUAUGAAGAGUCUGAUGAAGAGGUCCAAGAAGCUGAAGGUGAGGAGGAGGACAGCGAUAAAAAACCAGAAGAAGGACCUGGAAAGGACCUGGACCCAGCAGAGGACAGCCCGGGAGAACCCAGCCUCACGCUGACCGCCUGAUGGGCGGGGGCCACUCCCAAGCACCCUCAGAGCCUGGAGAAGGUCCGGUGCUUCCUCAGGAGCAGGAAGACCUGGGAGAGGGAGGCAAAGUCUUGCAGGGCCUAGACUCUGCUGCUGAUUUUAAGUUGGGAUAUUUUUCCCACCAACUUUUGACCCCAAAGUCUGCAUCAUUCUGCCCUAAUGAUGAGGGUGAGGAUCAGUAUGAAAACUCUGAUGAAGAGGAAGAGGAUGGAAAUGAAAAACCUGGAGAAGGACUCUAAAUGGAUGUGGUCUCAGCAAAGGGCAGCUCUGGAUAAUACAGUGGGAAGGCAUAGAAAGAAGGAGACAGCAAAAGAAAAGAUGAAUUUGUUCUUCACGGAUAUUCUUGUUUUCAUUAGCCUAAAAUACUGAUUUUGUUUCAAGGUUUCAACACCCCAAAGUGAUAUUAACUACUGACAUCUGACUUUACUCUUACCUUUUACAGAUAAUUUGAUAGUAUUGUUCACAUUGGAAAUAAAAGCUUGUUUGAAAGUAAUAAGCUGUAGUUU